UACAGAGGAUGCAAGCGUUAUCCGGAAUGAUUGGGCGUAAAGCGUCUGUAGGUGGCUUUUUAAGUCCGCCGUCAAAUCCCAGGGCUCAACUCUGGACAGGCGGUGGAAACUACCAAGCUGGAGUACGGUAGGGGCAGAGGGAAUUUCCGGUGGAGCGGUGAAAUGCGUAGAUAUCAGGAGGAACACCGGUGGCGAAGGCGGUUCUCUGGGCAUUACCUGACGCUGAGGAGCGAAAGUGUGGGGAGCGAACAGG
rnacentral:rRNA from 1 species